UUGAGACGAUCAUGCCAUUUUUGUCCUUUAUUUUAUUAAAAUGGUGUAUUACAUUGAUUGAUUUUCCUAUCUUGAACCAACUUUGUGUUCCUGGGAUAAAUCCCACUUGGUUAUGGUGUAUAAUCCUUUCAUGUGUUGCUGAACUUAUUUUCUAAUAUUUUGUUGGGAAUUUUUGCAUCUAUAUUCAUAAAAGAUAUUGGGAUGUAAUUUCUCUCUAUUAUGAUGUCUUUUUAUGGUUUUGGUAAAAGCAUAAUACUCAUCACAGAGAACGAUUUGGGAAGUGUUCUCUCUUUUAUUUUUUGGGAGGGUUUUGAAGGAUUGGUAUUAAUUAUUCUUUAAAUGUUUGGUAGAAUUUAUCAGUGGAGACAUCUGAGCCUAGGCAUUAUUUGUGGUAAGUUUUAAUAUUAUUAUUUCUUUUUAUUUAUUAUGCCAAUAUUAUAAGUUUGAAUAUUAUGUCUCUUUAUUUGUUAUGUCUAUUCAGAUUUUCAAUUUCUUCUUGAGUAAGUUUUGAUUGUUUGUGACUUUCUAGCAAUUUGUCCAUUUCAUCUAAGUUAUCUGUUGACAUACAACUUUUCAUAGUUUACUGUUAUAAUCUUUUUAUUUCUGUAAUGUCAGGUUAUUGAUUUGAUAUCUUUAUUCUCUUUUUAAAACAGGUAUUUAUAGCCAUAAAGUUCCUUCUGGGCACUGCCUUCUCAGCAUCCCAUAACUUUUAGCAUAUUGUGUUUUUGUUUUUAUUCAUGUCAAUGUGUGGUCAGCAAAGGAACUGAGAAAGAAUGGGCAAUGAGGUAGCAGGAAACCUAAAGGGUUGGUUUCAUGGAAAUCAAGAGAUAAAAAUAUUUCAAGGAGGAGAGAGUGUUGACCCCACAGAAUGCUGUUGAGAGAGUAAAAUGAGGUCAGGGAAGCGCAGGUUUUCCUUAGUAUUAUGGAAAUCAUUAGUGGUUGGUUAUGAACAGUUCUCCUGGGUUGGAGGGGGAGACAGAAGCCCUGGUGAAGUGGCCAAAGAGAUGUCUGGAAGUGAAAUCAUAAAGGCAAUCAAUAUUAGACAACUGCUUUCAUAAGUUUUGCUGUGAGGUGGAGCAACCAGAUGAGAGAAGUCCUAGGGGAGGGAUGCGGGAUGGCAGGAAUGCUUGGCAAAGAUGGGGGAUCCUAGAGCAUGUUUGUAUGCUAAUAGAAAUGAGAGAGAAAGACACUAAUAAUUCAGGACAGAGUUGCAGAAAUCCUUGAGAAGGAGAGAGAAGAUGGGAUCCAGAGGACAAACAUGUUAGCCUUUCAUGGGAAGAGAAACACUUCUUCCAUUGUGGAAGGAAGAAAGAGCAUAUGGGUACAGACGCCAAUGGAGAUGAUGGUGGGAGGAUGAGAGAAUUCCCGCACAACUGUUUCUAACUUCUCAGGAAAAUGAGGUGAGGUCAACAGUUAAAAGUUGGCGCAGGUUAGUGGGAAUAUUAGAGGUCAGAAAACAGAUGAGAAGGUGUUAAAUGGACCUCUUGGAGAGAGGAAAAAAUUUGUUUCUGGGGAGCAUGUUAGACUUACUGGGUAUUUUUUGGUAGCCAUUUUGAGUUUAAAAAGAGCCCAGUUCGCACGGAUAUGUUCGUUUUCUCAGGGGAAGGCUCAGAGUAGAUGGAUAGUUUAAGUGGAGCAGUUGUUUUCCCAGGUGAGUGAAUAGAGGAUGAUAAAGCAAGAAUGUGUUAAAUGUGCUUUGCCACACACACAGAGACACAGACACACACAUACACAGACACAUCACACUCAUUUACAUGCAUGCCACACUCCCACGUGCAUGCAUACACACACUCACACACAUCAUACUUUUAUACACACACUCCAUACUCACAAGCACUAGCCCACUUAACUUUUACAGUAAACCCCCAACAGCACCUUAGUACUGUUUUUGAUGUAUCUGAAGAUUGAAGGGCACUUGUAGUUUCCUCUCUGUGAAUCACUCUCCUCCCUGUUCUUCAAAUAUUUUAAACAUGAUCAUGAAGUAAUCAGAGCCAGUGUUGGGAUUCUGUUCUGUCCCUUUGAGCCAUCCCUUCAGUGGAAUUUCUUUGGAGCUUUUCCUUCUGACACCCAGCCUACUACUGUCCUGGUGGCUCCAGGACCUCCUCAUGCAGUGGGUCUUCUCCGGACUGUGCUCCACACCAACUGACCACCCCAUCCUCUCCUCAGUGUAGCUAGAAUUUGGGCUCUGCUCCUCACUGGGAUGUGACCUGCUCUGGAAUAUGGGAGCAAUAAUAAUUUAUUGUGAGGAUUUAAAAAAUAUAUAAUGCAUUGAAUGUGCUCAAUUCUGGGGAACAUAGCAUGUAUUUAAUAAAUGCCAAAGUGAUCAGUUUCUCUCUUUCCCUUAAUCUGAACCUAUGUUGUCUGUUCUGGUCACAUUUCCUGAAAGACAUUCAUUCAGUUAGACAUUUUUUACUAGCAAAAUUUAAUUAAUUCUUGAUGAUAGAAUUUCAAGUUUAACAGGGUUCUUCUGGAAAUACCAUCAGAAUCUACAGUUGACUCUAAUAGGACUGCAGGUGAGCAAAAGGGUCAUAUUUUGGGCAUGCAGAUCUUUUCACUUGGCUUAAAUCAUACAGAAGGACUGACUUUGAUCAUCAUGAAUUAAAAUAAACUAUACAUUGAGAAGAGGAAAUUAGGUUAUUUUCAUGGCCUGGUUGCUGGAGUAGUUCGUAAAUAAAAUGAAUUAUUAGGUUUUUAAAAUAUCAGAGUUUUGUGCCAUAUCCAAGGAUUCUUGACCAUGUUACAGAACAACACUGCAAUAUCAUAAAAAAGUAUUGUGCCACUGGCAUAAACUCAAAGGGCAUUUCUUUAAAAAGCAACCCCUUGGGACUGUGGGUGAGAAUCUCUCUCUCACUCCGCUUUUGGCUACUGUGACAUUGGCCAUCACAUCUGCUCGUCAAGUCCCAAGCGAUAAGUCACUCUUGGUCUCUAAGGACAGAGGAUUUUACAUAAAUGUGCCUCAUUUACUAGCCAUUUUUCCUGCAUUGAUUAGUCACCAUUUUAUUUUGAAAACAGUGCUAAUGGCUAAGGUUAAUCCUGAGCGGUAGUGGAAAGUAACAAAAUGAACAUACUCCCGCUUUUUAAAGUUGUCCUACUGAGCACAUUAGCUUUUCGUGACUUGUGGCAUAUAAGAGAAUUGUUCAGAGGCAAGGCUGAGACUUUGUGUUUUGAUCUUUUACAUUUCCCUUUUAUUCUUUAGUUCUUAGAAUGGUAACAAAUUAUAUGUUAUUGAUGAUUUUACAGUGUGUAUAUUGGCCAGUGCAAGUAAUCCUACACUUGUAUUGAUCAGCAGCGAUGGCUCAUAAUCUAUGUGAGUAUAACCAGCCCCAUGGCAUUAUAGUCAUGUGGUAUUAUGUAUGCAAAACCAUGUUCCUAUGGUUUUGAUGUUAUGGGAAGUAGCAGACUGUUUUCUUAAUUCUUGUAAGUUGAAUUUCCCCCUAAAGACUCAUUAUGAAAAGGCAUGUUGAAACGUGGGGUGUCAUUACAGGAUUGUACUCGCUUGGUGACAAGCAACAAAAGGAGAAAAACGUUUCUGACAAUUUCUGAAAUGUGAUCAUUAGAAAUCACUCUCUGAAAUUAAUGAGAUGCUCGAGAAAGCCAAGAGCUUAAUAGAUCACAUCAUGUGUGCAACUUGAUGGGGGCUUUAAAUGGGGAUGCGAUUAUUUGCCAAGCAAAGGCAAGGGUUUGCACAACCAACCACUUUCUCACCACUGCUGCUUAAUGAAAAUCGAACAGAUCUACAAGGAUAAACAUUGAAAUGAUUACAGAACAUUCUGACCCUGAGGAAAUUACAUGUAAUUCAAUUAACAGCUAAAGCUUUCGUUUUAUUCGCCAAAGGACUAUCUUCUCUCUCUCUUUUUUGUUGAGGUGAGGAAAUAUUUUAGAAAUCAGCUAGAAGGUAAAUCCUCCCAUGCAAACAACUGAAUCUCCCAUUUAGUGUUUCUUGUUUUUCCCCGUCUGUUGACUCUUGGCGUCUCCCCUGCUGCUCCUGAUCCCCACCUGGCCCAGUCGUGAUUCUUCUGUUGUGCGUCUGUCUCCAUGGAGACAGACUGCUCAGAAGGGGGAGCCGUGCACAGUAUCCAGCCGCGAACCUCUCUGGGCUCUCCUGGGCUCGGCUUCUCUUUGCUCGAAGUGCAGAAAGGAGGAGAAAUUACCUCAUCUUUAGAGGAGCAUACAUGUGUUUGGGACCAAAAUUCCUCCCUCCGUGUGGUUCUGCAGAUGCAGCUGAAUAAAACCCUGAGAGGAGAGCUGGGAAGCCAUCUGUUUCCCUUGCUGCAGUGUGGGGAGAGCCACGACAAUUGUCGGGAGGACCUAAAGCGGAAAGAGAGAGAGGGAUGGAAGAUAAAGAAGAUAUGAAAAUUAAGGAUUCUCUAACAGACUUACACCAGCAGUCCAGCUGUGCAGGAGAAAGGCUGUUAUCUAGAAACCUGAGAAAUAGAUGUAGGAAGACAGCGUGUCGCUGAGAUAAUCCUGUGGAGGCCGACUCACGGCUCUGUGGGCUAGAAUGUCACACCAGGCUUUUCCGUGUGAUUCUGUAAGCGAUUCCAGGCUACUCAUUCCCAUUCUCGUGCUUUGUGGUGGCAGUGGGCAACAAGGAACCUGCGCAAUCACCUAGUGAUGAAGUCUCAUUCAUCAUUUCAUUUUCUUAUUGGGAAUAAUUUAGCCGACAUUAAUUGAGUACCUACUGCACCAAGCAUUGUGCUCAGUAGAUAUAAAGAAUAAAACAUUGUUUCUAGAAUUAAGGAGCUUACAGUACAGUAAAUUUGCCACCCAUCUGAACUUAGAAAUCCUGCCACCGAUGGCUGUUUGAGAUUUUGAAAAAGAGAAGCUGAAACUGUGGGAGUCAUUAAAACCUGGUUGUUGUAACAAAGCUGGGAAAAGGAUCUCAUACGGCCACUGGGCUGAUCUCCACCACUUGACAACCUUGUAAAAUAUGAUUGCAUCAUUUCAGGAUGAGGAGUAAUGCGGAUUACUGGCUAAUUUUGGCUCACUGUGCUGUGUUAUCAAGUGCACUUCCUGAGAGUCCUGUAUUUUCUGGUUUAAGGGUGGCUGAUGACGUACUUGUAACCAAGGGACUCGGCCCAGCCCAAGUGCUUCUGACUAAGAGGAGCAUGCCAAGUAAAUAAGCACUUCGCUGUGCCAUGCCUGAGAGAAGGAAUGCAAAGAUUAAUUCACUGGCCCUAAUAUCUUUAAUCCAAUGAUUCACAAACAAACACCACCAUUUGGAUUCCAGUAACUGUAAUAGUAUAACAGUCGCUGACUUUUAUUAGUGUGUAAUUAACCCUGUAGUGUGUCAAGAUGACAGCUGUAAUUUUCUGUUCACUCAGAGAUGUCCAUAGACCUCAGUAUUCUAACUAGUCAUGCGAUAUCCUUUCAGUACUUUGAUGGUUAAUGUCAACAUUUGUGAACAUGUUGACAGCUAACAGUGAGAGGUGUAUUUAUUACAUUUCACAAAGUAUGCAUAUGUUUAAUCUUCAACUGGUUUUGAGUUCAGAAGCAAAGCUGGAGUGUGGGAUUUGGAGAUGGGAAUGGAGGGGUGAGGGGAGAGGUGGGUAGUCUACCAAGCCAGUACUCCCAGAUUCAAGACCCUUUCAGCUGGCCUGCAUGGCUGUCCUUCCAAAGAUGAUUUGAAUUGACACACAAUGCUUCUUUAGCUGAGGCCUGACCCAGUUACCUCUCUCUAUUGCAGCUCCUUGCUAUUCCAGGGCUGUCAGUUCCUGAGCUCUCCAGAGCAUUGUUGCUGCUGCAACUUCAUCACUGUCAUGGAACUGCCAUGCCCACACUGAUGCCAGCUCCAAGCCACUGCUAGAAUAUGGAAUGCUAUCAUUACAGGGCUCAUAGCUGUGUGCCCCUCUGGCACACCGGGACCUCUCCUGCCAGUGUUCCUCCUCUUCUGGCCUCUCACAGCUUGGUGGGUCUCAUGAGGUACCCCAGGUACCAUGUUUCCUGUUGUAUCUCUUCAGUACAGGGCGCAGACCAAAGCUGCUACAUUCCUUACCUGUGGUACAUUUCAGCACCCGAGGCCACUAAAGUAGGGCGCAGGCUAUCGGUCCUAGCUAGGCUACAAGGAGACAUGUCUUUUUUCUCUCUCAUUUUUUAAACCCUCUCUUUCCUGCUGUAGUGGCCAUUUACACUUUCCUUCUUACCCCUGCAAGAUGAGUGCCCUCCUUCCAAAAGAGUGAGGCCUCACACAAAUAGGUGAUUAAUUUCUAAAGUCUCUGCCUGAACCCUGGGCCACCAUACUGUUCAUGGGAGACUGGAGAGUUGUUUCUAUAAAUAGCAGUUCCAGUGUUCACCAGUGUGUAAGAUGCAGUUGGUAGUCAGAGAGUACAGUGAAAGUUCUUGGCCUUCAAGGUCUUGAUUGAACUUGAGACUUUAUCCUCAUUAGCUUCGUGCUUGGAGCAAAUAGCAACUGACUCAUAUAUCAACUUAAAGUUUAUCAAAUUCUUGAAAAUGUUUGGGAUCAUUUGGUAAAAAUGAGCAGAGAUGGAGGCUCAAAUUGUUUUCUGGGUAAUAGAUCUUGUUUGAGGUUUUUUUCCCCCUAGUGCAGCUUGAAAACCACCUGACAGUAAUUAAAUUAUUCUAACAUCUCACUCCCACCUCCCACACACAUUUUCCCCUUUUGUUUUGUUAUUUGGUGCUGUGUGCAAUUAUCUUCUUUUAAGAAACAAGCACAGCCACCCACAACCACACGUGUUAACUGUAAAUCUGAACUUGUGGCAAUGGGGAGGAGGCAUCCUUUUCCCUUUCUCUCACAGGGUGUAAACUGGUUAUUCACAUUUUCUUUGAUGAGAAUUUUAAGCACCGAGCCCCAUCUUCACAAGCACAUGCAGCAGAUGGUUAGGAAUACUGUGUGAUAAGGAAAGCUGGCCAAUUUCUUAAGUUAUUUUCACCUCCUGAACAUAUUCCAAAGAAAUGCAAUGGCAUAUUUUAGGGUGUGUCUUUACAAGACCUCUUUCCUUAAAUACGAAUAUAAUUUGCUGAUGUGUUCACUUUAAGAUGGAUUCAUUUGGGGGAUGUCUCUGCUGUAAAUGAUCUUGUAGCAUUUUCAUGCAAAAUUAGACUUCUGUUGAAAGCUCUCCUGGGUGUUGCUGCCUAGGAAUUAACCCAUUGUUCCUUCUCUUCACUCAGGCAGACUAUGAGACAGGAGGAAAUGAAGCAAGAUAUUUAGGUGAACUCCUAAUGACGUUUAUGCACGUUAUCCGUGUGAUGAGUUAAUCUGCAUAGAGAAGGAAAGACGUUUCCAGGUCACUUGAUGUGUUCUGUGAACUAACUCCACCAUUUACUAGGUUGGGGUCUUUAGGCAUAUUUCUUAAACUCCAUAUCUUUCUGUAAAAUGGGGUCACCAUUGUGACCUCUUUGGGUUGUUGUGGCAUUAGGAAAGACAAUAUGUAAGUAAAGCUCUUUUUUUCAUAGAGGUGCUCAAUAAAAAGUAGUGAAACUGGUGGAUAAAUGAUGGAGAAAUAUGAACACACAUCUGGUUGCUACGCACAAGGGCCUUCUGGCUGCAGAGACAUUCAAAGAGUCCUCCUUCAGGGAAAGUCCUCUGAUAGCCAGCAACACCCUAAAAGGCCUCACCUCAACUGAAAAUGCUCCCUGGCCUUAUAUUCCUUCCUAAUAUACUCCCCUGUCCCAGACCAUUGCUUCUGGAGGACAUGUAAACUAAUAAAUUGACUCCAAAGUUGUAGUUUCAGGGGAGAGUAGAAUAACAGAUCUGUGGUGUCAGCAGAGAGCUCCCAGUGGGAGGAGUAGUACUAAUAGCUAUAGCAGCAGUAAACCUCCAGGGAAGCAGUGGGAUAGAGUAUGACUGGAUAACAGAUCACCCGUUAUUUUGGAUUAUCCAAACUAUUGAUCAGUUCAAUAAUCAAUGGGUAAAGAUAGCGUGCUAUUUUAUGAUGUCAUUACUAUUUCCGUUAACAUAACCAGCUUCAGAAUGUGUGUGUAUUUCUUCGUUUUAACAUAUCUUCAUCUCAGGAUUUUUAUUUAUAUUUAUACCAUCAACAUCAAGAACUUUUAGAUUCAUUGCUGGGAUUGAUCCAUUUACUUAUAUAUGUAUAUACACAUCUUAUAAAGACAAAUGACAACCUUUUGGAAUGUGGCUUAAAUUCUUUGUAAAGAUUUGUCCUUGGAUUUACUCUGAAUAGCCAAAUAAGGUUUUAGAUGACCUCUAAUAAAUUCAUUUUUAAUUGUG